rnacentral:tRNA from 1 species
CCAUAAAUGACUGAGCUAGGUGCUAGAUUUUUAAUCUGGAGACGACAAGCAUUAUAAAGCUGUCUUUAUGGG